rnacentral:rRNA from 1 species
UACGUAGGGGGCUAGCGUUGUCCGGAAUCAUUGGGCGUAAAGAGCGCGUAGGCGGCCAGAUAAGUCCGGUGUGAAAGUCACAGGCUCAACCUGUGAAUGCCGCUGGAAACUGUCCGGCUAGAGUUCGGUAGGGGAGACUGGAAUUCCUGGUGUAGCGGUGAAAUGCGCAGAUAUCAGGAGGAACACCGGUGGCGAAGGCGGGUCUCUGGGCCGAUACUGACGCUGAGGAGCGAAAGCGUGGGGAGCGAACAGG